rnacentral:lncRNA from 1 species
GUCCCGCUCCCCGUCGCCCCACGCCGCCCUCGUCGCCGCGCCCAGACCCCUGCGGCGGCCGCAGCCGCUUGGGACUCGCUGCGAGCUGGUUUCGGAUCCAUCCCGCCUCCCGGCGUCUCACUGUGUGCCCUACCCUUUGAAACACGCCCCCGCGCCCGCCCUGCCGUAGACCAGGCAGCGAGGAAGCCCACAGUCUCCGGGGGCGCUGCGCGCGAAGUAGCACGUGCUUCUCGAAACACCGCAGCCCCCGGGUCCCGCCCCGCCCGGCGCGCGCACUCGAACCCGCCCAGAGAGCGGUGCGUGGCGCUGGGUGCGAGCAGGGUCUAGCCACCCCCACCCUCACCCCACCCCACCCCACCCUGCUUUUUUCAGGUUCAUCAAGGUUUGCGCAGUGGAUCCGCGAAUGAAGCCAGCCUGGAAGAUCCCCAGUCUCGAGACAGAGCCUGACAGGGGCAGAUGCACUGGAAGGACCCUGUCUGGGUUUAGCAACCAAGCAGCCAUCCUGGCCCCACAGGUGUGGGACUUCUGGGUCUUCUCCUGGCUGGCUUCUUGCUAGAGGAUUUCAAGAGACCCAGCAAGACUGUAUUGUCCCACUGAAUGCUCAAGAUAUUGGUUAGAAGUAGAAAAGGGGAGGGGGUAGUAUUUAGCCUCUGUCCCCACUAAAAAUUAUUCCCAAUUGUCAUUUGUGUCAUCUGUUUAGCUUACAGUUUUAAUCCUUGUCAAAAUGAUCAUUUGCCAGGGUGCAUAAAACACCCUAUUUGAUGAGAACUGGUUUUAAAGGAAAAUGGGGCCAUCAGAAGGAAGCCGGUUGGUGUGAAGAGACGUCUGGGAAGAGCCCCUGGCGAGGGCCCUCAUUCCACUGGGUGACCCAGAAGGAGAAAACCGCGAUGGCGCUUCUCAUUUGAAAUGUUUUCUUUAUGGACAGUGUUUAGCAAUUGUUAUAAUGUGUACUUUUGUUGAUUGAUCUGUAUACAUAUGUAAAAUAAUUUGUUCUCUGAGUUAAUUUUGUUGGAACAAAGACUUUAGUGCUUCCUACAUUAAAACAUUUUACUGUAUUGCCUGCA